rnacentral:rRNA from 1 species
CCUACGGGUGGCAGCAGUGGUGAAUAUUGGACAAUGGGCGAAAGCCUGAUCCAGCAAUGCCGCGUGUGUGAUGAAGGUCUUCGGAUUGUAAAGCACUUUCGACGGGGACGAUGAUGACGGUACCCGUAGAAGAAGCCCCGGCUAACUUCGUGCCAGCAGCCGCGGUAAUACGAAGGGGGCUAGCGUUGCUCGGAAUGACUGGGCGUAAAGGGCGCGUAGGCGGUUUAUGCAGUCAGAUGUGGAAUCCCCGGGCUUAACCUGGGAACUGCAUUUGAGACGCAUAGACUAGAGCUCGAGAGAGGGUUGUGGAAUUCCCAGUGUAGGGGUGAAAUUCGUAGAUAUUGGGAAGAACACCGGUGGCGAAGGCGGCAACCUGGCUCGAUACUGACGCUGAGGCGCGAAAACGUGGGGAGCAAACAGGAUUAGAUACCCGCGUAGUC